GAGAGCCGUAUACACUGAAAAGUGUAAGUACGGUUCGGAGGAAAGUGUUCGGAAACCUAUUCAGAAAUGAACAAGGCGCUGAAUGCUUAUCCUAC
rnacentral:ncRNA from 1 species